rnacentral:rRNA from 1 species
UACGUAGGUCCCGAGCGUUGUCCGGAUUUAUUGGGCGUAAGGCGAGCGCAGGUGGUUUAUUAAGUCUGGUGUAAAAGGCAGUGGCUCAACCAUUGUGUGCAUUGGAAACUGGUAGACUUGAGUGCAGGAGAGGAGAGUGGAAUUCCAUGUGUAGCGGUGAAAUGCGUAGAUAUAUGGAGGAACACCGGUGGCGAAAGCGGCUCUCUGGCCUGUAACUGACACUGAGGCUCGAAAGCGUGGGGAGCAAACAGG